AUACGUAGGGGACGAGCGUUGUCCGGAAUUACUGGGCGUAAAGGGCGCGCAGGCUGUGCUGCAAGUCAGCUGUUAAAUGUCUGGGCUUAACCCGGGCAUGCGGUUGAGACUGCAGUGCUGGAGUGCUGUAGAGGCAAGUGGAAUUCCCAGUGUAGCGGUGAAAUGCGUAGAGAUCGGGAGGAACACCAGUGGCGAAGGCGGCUUACUGGACUGUAACUGACGCUGAGGCGCGAAAGUGUGGGGAGCAAACAGGAUUAGAUACCCUGGUAGUCCACACUGUAAACGAUGAAUGCUAGGUGUAGGGGGUAUCGACCCCUUCUGUGCCGGAGUCAACACAAUAAGCAUUCCGCCUGGGGAGUACGGCCGCAAGGUUGAA
rnacentral:rRNA from 1 species